CACAAAAAGGUAAACAAACCUAUAAACAAAAACAAUAACUCGGAAAUGUAAAGGUUUGAAUGCAAUGGCAAUGCGCAACAUUACAUUCCCAAUUCUCAUUUUGCCGGAAUCCCUCUUGGCAAUUAUAACAAUUUCAUUUCUUAUAUUGCUGGUAGUGGACAAACCAUGGACGUACCCGAGCUCAUACAGGGUCACCUAAUCUUCGGAAGCUCCAUUGGGAAAUACAGGAGGUACGAAAUGGUAGGUGUGCUAAAUUCUGUAACCCAUUUAAGGUACAUACAUACGUAUCCAUACGAGAAUUUGCAAUAGUCGCGGGCAGUAUUUAAACAAUUAACAUAUUACCAAAAGCGAAAAAGACCUAUUUAUUAACAAUAUUCGGCCAACUCGGAGUGCGGCAUAGGCUAUGCACUAGGAUUAGCAACGACUUUUUUCAAGGACGCGGCACCCGCACAAUAGGCGCUCUCGAAAGGAUGCCCCGGAGGAUCCCCACGCUGCAAUCUACGACGAUCUUGGACGCAGGCCUUGUUGCAGCGAAUCAGACCCUCAAGGGCGAUAUACCGAGAUUAUAGAUGUGCGAUUAAAGCCGCCUCCCAUUUUGGUCCAAUGCGACCUGAGUUUUGAGUCCUGUAUUUCCCUCCUCACAUGAGUAAACCCAAGCAGAUGGCGGGCGGGAGAUGCGAAGUGCGUCUCGCUCUUUUUCGAUGCGAC